CUAAAGAAUAAACUGCAUAUGAAGUAAGGAAUAAAAUACAGACAGUAAAUACUGUUAAGUGCAAAAUGCUUGGAUUCAACAAGAAUAUAGAAAAAAUCAAAACAACUUCACCAAAUACUUCAACCAACCAACGAACCAGACAAACAAACGAAAAACCUCUGGUAGAAGCAAGCAGGUACGAGAUGGGCCCAGUCCUGCUGCCUGUACUGGCCCAUGUGCUUCCUUCUCGCCAGCAGGGACCAGGCCUUGAAU